rnacentral:rRNA from 1 species
GUCCCAGACUCUACGGGAGGCAGCAGUGGGGAAUAUUGCACAAUGGGGGAAACCCUGAUGCAGCGACGCCGCGUGAAGGAUGAAGUAUUUCGGUAUGUAAACUUCUAUCAGCAGGGAAGAAAAUGACGGUACCUGACUAAGAAGCCCCGGCUAACUACGUGCCAGCAGCCGCGGUAAUACGUAGGGGGCAAGCGUUGUCCGGAAUUACUGGGUGUAAAGGGAGCGCAGGCGGGAAGCCAAGUCAGCUGUGAAAACUACGGGCUUAACUUGUAGACUGCAGUUGAAACUGGUUUUCUUGAGUGAAGUAGAGGUUGGCGGAAUUCCGAGUGUAGCGGUGAAAUGCGUAGAUAUUCGGAGGAACACCGGUGGCGAAGGCGGCCAACUGGGCUUUAACUGA